GAAUGCCCCAAUCUCUUGUCCGCUGCCAAUGAUUCCCUCAUAGUUGACAAUCCGAUUGUCAAAGAAAUCCACCAAGGUUUCAUGUUGGGUUCUUUCCCCACCCCCCCUUUUCUUCUUGGCGAACAAAUCCCAUUGGCAUUGCCAUUAGCAAAUAUUCCAAUAAAAAAGGCAUGAUCCUUGACCUCUCGGCUCCUCAUUCCUCACUCACACCAAGUUCAUAUU